rnacentral:rRNA from 1 species
GGGCCCCCCUGUCUUAAGAGGACUCUCCAUGAAAUUGAAUUCGUAGUGAAGAUGCUACGUCCAUAUUGUAAGACGAAAAGUCCCCAUUGAGCUUUACUAAAGACUUAUAUGGCUCGAAUAACUUAAAUAAAAAGUUUAGAUAAUGUGGGAUCCGUUUUUGGUUAAUGAGACACCACUCUUUUAUUUUAAGAGAACUAACCUUAUAGGGAGAAUGUAAGUUAGAUAGUUUGGUUGGGGCGACCACCUUUUAAAAGGUAACGAAGGUGAGCUUAAGGUCCGUAGUUAAUAGCUAGAGGCCUGACUGCAAGGGGGACACCCCGAGCAGACACAUCCUUAAGGAUGUGGGUUAUAGUGACCCGUCAUCUUAGAGUGGAAUAGUUGACGAUCAACGAAUAAAAGCGACCAUGGGGAUC